UACGUAGGUGGCAAGCGUUAUCCGGAAUUAUUGGGCGUAAAGCGCGCGCAGGUGGUUUCUUAAGUCUGAUGUGAAAGCCCACGGCUCAACCGUGGAGGGUCAUUGGAAACUGGGAGACUUGAGUGCAGAAGAGGAAAGUGGAAUUCCAUGUGUAGCGGUGAAAUGCGUAGAUAUCGCUUGGAACGCCAAAGGUGAAAACAGGGUUGCCUGGGGUUGUGCCGACGCUGAGACACGAAGCCAGGGGAGCAAACGGG
rnacentral:rRNA from 1 species